CUAUUUCUCAGUUUUUGAUCUGCAGAUGUGAAGUACCUCUUCUCAGAAUAAUAUUGAUCCAUAGAUUUCAUAGAAUGUAUGAAAUUCUAAAACCCUUUUUUCUUAACGAUAUUCCGUGAAAUCAUAUUUGAUUUUGUUUUGCAUUUGUUGGUGAUAUAUCCUUGCAGUGAACAAUAAAACGAUGAAAUGGGAUAUUUUUGGUUCACUUUUUAAGAAAAUAUUGUUUUUCUUUUUCUUUUGCUAUUUUUAUUUAGGGUUUUAUUGUUAUAUAUUUUUGUGAAGUUCUUAUAUUUUGGCUUCAUUUGAAUUUAUAUAUUUUGGUUUUCGAGCAAAGCCAAAUUCAUUAGUUCGUUAUUUUGAUGUUGGCUUGAAUAAUCUUUCUUUUUAUGGUUCUCUUACCUUUUUGUCGUUUGUUCUCCGGUAUAUUCGAAGGUGUAGUUGCUUGGUGAUGCUUUUGCCUUAAGAAAACAACUAGGUGAUCGUAUUAUUUCUUUGAAAUCUUGAUUUGUUCUAUGAUAUAGUUGUUAAUUGUUUUGAAAAUCCAACUUCUGGGAAUAACUGAAACUGGAUAACAUGUAACUAAGCCGCCCAAAACUAAAAUUGGAUGAUAUAUAACCAAGCCUGGGACAGCAUGUUUGAGAUUUUUAUUUUUUUCAUUUUUUUUUCUCUUUGCGAUUAUUACUGUUCUAUAAGAAUAACCUAACCCCGUUAAUUACUGAAUGAUACAAAAAGUACAGGCUACAUUUGAGGCACUGGAGAAGGACUGACGUCAAAGUUUUGUUGUCACCGUCCAAGCCAUAUUUUGUAGAAUACUGGGUAUUCUUCUUUCCAACAAUAGAGAAGAAGAACUGGAAAAUGUCCAAGAAAUAAGAAGAAAAUUCGCAGUAUAGCACUUCAUUCCCAUAUUUAAGAUCCGGAAAAUCUCCACGAAAGGUUUAUGACACCACAACACUUUUAAUUAAUUUGAUCUAUCUACGUGCUGGACUUCUUAGCGCAUAUAGUACAUUAUCCGGAUAUCGCAUUUCAGCAGAACUCGGAGCAGCUGAAGAUUCAAUGGGUAUUGCACGGAAUAAGCAAGCUAGGGGGAAAAUGGGAGAACUUUGGCUUUGUCGGUGUAACAUGGAUGAAAAUUCAGCUUUGUAUUCGAUUACAUUUUUUUUUAAUUGUUUUUGGUUUUGAUACAUGUAUUCGGAUGUGUUGCAGUUCACGGAAAGACUGAGUUUUUUAUUCAUUAACCACUUACGUACCUGGUUUUUCAUAUUUAUCGUGUUGCAGUUCCAUAAUACCAGGAUCGUCGUUGAUAGCACAAAUUCUGUCAAAUGGGGCGGUGAAUUUACGUUCUCGGAAAUCCGAUGUAAUACUGAUCCUUUUCAUUAUUCUUAGUGUCACAAAUAAGGAUUAAUACAACCUUUUAAAAAUGGUGUUUUAAACUGGUUUAUGCGUGAGUAUGAGGGUGGACUUAAUUGGUAUCAAAAAUUGUACGGAAAGGUAAGCAUAGUCAGUAAUCAAAGUAAUAUAAGUUGUUCUUUUAUUGUAAGCAAGGAAUCUGCACUCUCAUAUUCAAAAACUUCAUACAUACCUUAGAGCUUUCCUUUACAAUUGUCCAGUUUUAUUUCUGAAAUGUCAUAUUGUGCAAAUGUUUCUUUACAUGAUUAUGUUUUAGGACGUAUUUUAUUACUAAUUUUUGGCCAAAAUAUGAGUUCAUGAUGUGAAUUUCCUACCUUUGAUGUCAAAUAUAUUAACUUAUUAUGAAUGUAUAACGGUUCAUUUUGAAUUUCGUAGAGUUUUCACCGAUCGUUCAAUCACCAUGGCGAUAGCAUACAGUCUGUGAAUUCAAUAUGAUAUUCACUUUUUAA